rnacentral:rRNA from 1 species
AACGAACGCUGGCGGCAGGCCUAACACAUGCAAGUCGAACGCUCGUAGCAAUACGAGAGUGGCAGACGGGUGAGUAACACGUGGGAACCUUCCCUAUGGUUCGGAAUAGCUCAGGGAAACUUGGGGUAAUACCGGAUAAGCCCUUCGGGGAAAGGAUUUAUCGCCAUUGGAUGGGCCCGCCGUCGGAUUAGCUAGUUGGUGAGGUAACGGCUCACCAAGGCAACGAUCCGUAGCUGGUCUGAGAGGAUGAUCAGCCACACUGGGACUGAGACACGGCCCAGACUCCUACGGGAGGCAGCAGUGGGAAUAUUGGACAAUGGGCGCAAGCCUGAUCCAGCCAUGCCGCGUGAGUGACGAAGGUCUUCGGAUUGUAAAACUCUUUUGGCGGGGACGAUAAUGACGGUACCCGCAGAAUAAGCCCCGGCUAACUUCGUGCCAGCAGCCGCAGUAAC